UACGAAGGGGGCUAGCGUUGCUCGGAAUGACUGGGCGUAAAGGGCGCGUAGGCGGUUUGUACAGUCAGAUGUGAAAGCCCCGGGCUCAACCUGGGAAUUGCAUUUGAGACUGCGUAGCUAGGGUGCGGAAGAGGGAAGCGGAAUUUCCGGUGUAGCGGUGAAAUGCGUAGAUAUCGGAAGGAACACCAGUGGCGAAAGCGGCUUCCUGGUCCAGCACCGACGUUCAGGCACGAAAGCGUGGGGAGCAAACAGG
rnacentral:rRNA from 1 species